CUAACCUUGCUUUGAUCUCACUGCCUGCCUGCCCGCUGUAAAAUCCGGUGCCAAAAGGACCCAGGGCGCGCGCGUGCGCAAUCCGUCAGCAAAAGGCGAGACGAAAUCGUGCAUCGACUGGACAGGUUUCUUUUCUUCUUCAGAGAGGCGGCAAAGCAGCCGUGUCCAUGUCGAGCUCCCGGAUGCAAUUGGCAAACAGCCCUUGGCUUUUGGCGGUGACAGGGGAAUCAAGGAAUCUAAUCCAGAUCUCGGCGCACGCAAGCAAGCGAGGGGGGCGUAGCUAUCGGCAUGGAUCAAAAAGGAAGCUUCUGUCGAAAGCCGGCGCGCAUUGUGCUGUGGACGACGCCCCCCGGUGGUGGCUGAUGGUGUGGCCAUGGUGGACUGGUAGUGCUGGCCGAGACCGGUCACCGGUGCAGUGACAUGGCCAUAUUCUCGCUGGCAAUUGACGUUUCCAUCCCGUUUCUUGCACGGAAUAAUGUGACAUGUUUCAACGGAAUGUGCCAUGUUUUGACGGAAAUAUGGCAAGUUCUAGAGGUUUGUUAUUGUUACAGUCUCAGCUGGUCUCUUUCUGCAGUGAACCACAGAACGGCCAAUGAUAAGCAGAGGGUCCAGUGAAAAGACUUAUCGACUUUUUUACAGUUUGAGUAUUUACAGGAGCAGCUUUGCCUAAACAAUUCUGAAAGGUCGAGAAAUCUGCAGGGGCCAGGCAUCAAAAUCAGGGAAAAUUUCGGAGGAAUAUGUCUGCCUGAAGGAACAGGUCAGAGUAGCAGCCCGGGCAUAUUCACGCUGUACUUGUGCGUUGGUGGCAAUCUCUAGGCUCCGGUUCCAACCCCUUUGCUGCGCCUGAAAACAAUGGCCUUUCAGACAACACAGGGGCUGACGCCGUUCCCAUGCAUAUUCCGUUGCUGCUCCCAUUGCGAGUGGUGGGUCACUGACAAAUAUCUGGCUGCCCAUGCUUGCUGUCUGCAGUUUCAGGAUACAAUUGAAGGGUACGAGCAGAGGUUACAAGAUGCCAAGUGGGUGAGGAGCGGUCGUUUUCAUGGUUCCACUCUCGGAGCCCCCCGCUCUUGCUGGGCUCGCAAGAUGCUGUCAGCGGCUCGUCUCGGCUUCUAGACAGGAUCCGUCCGUCCACUUAUGCUGCUCGCAACCGCGAAGCCCUCCCUCUUCAGGCAUCUCAUGAUUGCGCAUUUGCACAAGCAGUGACUUGCAUGGGACGGCUAGCUGGGGUAAUGUUCAUACCGUCAUUUCAGCAUCUUAUUCUCUUCCUAUGCUGCUCCCCUUGUGCUUGUCUGAAUUUCCAGACGAAUAUCCACGCUGAGGGCUAAAGCGCGAACCGGAGGAUCGAAGGCGAUAUACGCCGGAAUUUUUCCACCGGCCUGGACUUUGUGCAAUGUUCGAGCUGCCUCCAAUUCAGCAUGAAAGGAAGGGCCCUGCCUAAAGCUCGAGCAACAUUCUGGGAAGGAAUCAAGAAAGAUUCCUGAAUGAUGCCCGGCGAGGAGGGCAAGAACUGAGGCACCAGCACUCACUCACCGGCUGGCUGCCACAACAAGUCACAGGCCAUUUGGCAAAGGUGGCCGCAUCAAUAAUUCCUUUCCAAAGAGCUCAUCAAAGUCUAUCACCAGAUUGUUUAAAGGCAUCAGGGAGGGAAAGGGGGUUUGAGAGAGAGUGUGCUGUGGGACCGAGGGAAUCGAAAAAGCCGUCCGGCAAGAUGCCAAGGGUAACCCACAUGAGGAAGAGGAAUUCCUAUUCGUCUGUCAGUGAAGUAACAUGAUUGCUCCCCCCAGGGUAAGCAAGCACAUAAUUGCUGCAUAAUUACCUGAUUAUAUGGUAUGGGGGCUGGUUUACUGCUUUUUGUUCUUGCUGAAUGUUGUUUUAUCGAUAGACGAUAUCAUGUUCAUUCUCAUGCACCGGUAAUCUUUGGAUUGAGAGGUUGUACUUCAGAGGAGUCAUUUCUGACGGUAAAAAAACACAGCAAAUGAUUGGCAAGGGAGCUCUGUGUUCCUGCACUGCAACUGUUAUUCCCUGAUGGAUGGUCUCUUUGAGUUCUGAUGGUUUCACCAUGAGCUGUCCUUGGCCACCUAUGGGAAUCUUGCUUUAUGGACUUUUUUGGAGAGAAAGUUUGUGAUAGCCUUCUUCGAAUUUACUGGUGGGUAAUCAAUCUUAGCAGAAUAAAAUGGACAAAUCUUCACUUUGAAGAAAAGGCUAGGAGAUUGUAGAGGAUUUUUUCGACGACUAAAUGUCCGAAUAAUGGAAUUUUCUUUUCUAUCCUAAGAAUAAUUGAAUCAGCAUCGUCCGGUUGCAACGGCAAGCAGGUCUCACACAACUUGCAAACGAAGCUAAGCCAUCGGGUAGGUUCUGAAUAUACUGAAAAAACUUUGCUUUAGCACAUAUGUCUUGCCACCUCUUGAUGGAUAAGGUAGGCAGGAUUCCAGUGAUCCACUAAGGAAAGGCAUUAACCGAAUAUAAUCGGAAAGAAAUGCGAAACCACAGGAUCAAAAGAGGAUCAGUGAGAAAAGAAGGCGGUCGAGAGGAUUUGGGUGCCGCGCAUUAGCUAAAGAUAACUUAUCUGGACCAAAAUCCACUGAAGUUUUUACCAGGUGUUGGGUAAUCCCAGAUUCCCCGGAUGAAUUGCAGGAAUGGUUCAUUGAUUAGCCGAUCGCCAUUUUGUCGGUGCACCAUCUAUCUGCUUCUUUUCCUGCAUAUCUGACACGCAGCACCCAAAAGUUGCAAUAUGCAGAGAACAAGUGACCGGCAUAUCAACAUGCAUUGCUGUGCAUAAUUCAUCUCAUAGGAUGCUUUUGUUCCCUGUAAUGGCUGUUUCACUCGUGCAUCUGGGGCCUGGAGAGUCCUCAUGAUCUUCGAUCAUUGGAACAGGAACCAGCUACCUUUCAGACACAAAUUCAAACCCAAGACAGUUUAUGCACUGUUUGCUGGCCACUGCCCAAUUCCUGGCCCAGUAUUCAGCUCUACCAACUGCGUCUUCCGGUUCAGAAUAUGUGCUGCUGGUGGAUUGAUACGGAACUAAUUGUAUUUAAUUCCUGGAUCUUGUUUGACUUGCUCACCCAACUGAGACAAUUCAUAUGGGAACUGACCAACUAUUCCACUUUCAGAACUGGAAAUCUGUAGGCUGUAGCUAAACAGAUAGCCAUGUAGGGCUACCAAAUUUGCAUUUUUCAGAGGAGGAUUCAGUGUCCGAACAAACUUCCCUCAGUUA